rnacentral:piRNA from 1 species
UACUCUUCUGGGACCCAGACCAGC